GCGCUCGUAGCUCAGCUGGAUAGAGCAACUGGCUACGAACCAGUAGGUCGGGAGUUCGACUCUCUCCGAGCGCACCA
rnacentral:tRNA from 10 species